rnacentral:rRNA from 1 species
UGGGGAAUAUUGCACAAUGGGGGAAACCCUGAUGCAGCGACGCCGCGUGAACGAAGAAGGUAUUCGUAUCGUAAAGUUCUGUCCUAUGGGAAGAUAAUGACAGUACCAUAGAAGAAAGCUCCGGCUAAAUACGUGCCAGCAGCUGCGGUAAUACGUAUGGAGCGAGCUUUGUCCGGAAUUAUUGGGCGUAAAGGGUACGCAGGCGGGUUAAUAAGUCGAAUGUUAAAGAUCGGGGCUCAACCCCGCAAAGCAUUGGAAACUGAUAAAUAUGAGUAGUGGAGAAGAAAGUGGAAUUCCUAGUGUAGUGGUGAAGUACGUAGAUAUUAGGAGGAAUACCAGUAGCGAAGGCGACUUUCUGGACACAAACUGACGCUGAGGUACGAAAGCGUGGGGAGCAAACAGG